rnacentral:lncRNA from 1 species
CCGAGCCGUUGGGCCCUGGCUGCAUGUUUGUUUUUUAUAAGAUUCUAUUUGCUCGGAAUCCAGAAGAACAAAAGAAACAUUCUCUUCUCCCUCGUACCCGUGUGUCGAAAAACACAAUUUCUCUUCUGCUUGGCUCGUGACCAGGGAAUUGGGACCCGUGUCCUGAGCGAAAGCGAGCGCGACAGCCCCGGCGCAGGCGGGCAGAGCAGUGGCAGCCUGAACUCGAGCCGGGCCUGCUUCCUAACGGCGAAACGAACGUCAGGGGAGAUUGAUAUACUGCGUCAUACUACCAGACACAGUCUAAAGCAACUGAACUUCUCAUUCACCUGGGAAGAGAGCAUGGCCAAGAACAGAAACCCAGGAAAGUCAACUGGCAAAGAUGCACCCAAUUGGGUAGGUGAUGAUGAAAACUUAAAUGAGCAGGUAAGGUCCCCAGAGAUUCAUGUGGACAAUAAUAUCUGGGAACUGUGCCUUUCCCUGUGUUAUAUCUCCAAAGGCACUCACAUGGGGGCCUCACAAAUAGUAAUAGCUUCUGUUCUUGUGGCCAUCUAAUUUUCUCCCUAAGACCUUAGGGAUCACCUUUCCCCAGAUGACCCUGAAAUCCUUAUGUCCAUUGUUGACCUCUCUUUCAAAUUCCCAAUCUAUGUCUCCAAUUCCAUUCCAAUCAUCUCUUUCUGGAUCUCCCACCAUCACUUCAAAGUUAGCCUGCUAAUGACACCACUCUGGCUACUCUCCCACAUUCAUAACUUUGGGACCAGUUUGAAUUAUUUUCUCUUCUACUCUUCAUGUGCAUCAUCAGCUACCAAGUCCUAGCAAUUCUGUCUCCUUGAUCAUCUUCACAUUUGCCUCUCCCUCUCCAUUCCCACAGCCACCCUUACAGAAUAGGCCCCCAUUACCACCCACUUGUAUUAUGUCAAUAGGCUUCUAACAAAUCUUCUUGCCUGCACUCUGUUCUCACCUAGCCAUUCUUCAGAAAUUGCCAGAAAAAUCUUUCUUAUGCAUAGAUCUCAUCAAACGAC